CAAGUUUGGGAUAACCAGUCGAAAGAUUGGCUAAUACCGGAUAAGACCACAGGAUCUGCGGAUCUAGGGGUUAAAGGUUUUUUCGCUUGAGGAUGAGCCCCAUAUGGGAUUAGCUAGUUGGUAAGGUAAUGGCUUACCAAGGCUACGAUCCCUAACUGGUCUUAGAGGAUGAUCAGUCACACUGGAACUGAGACACGGUCCAGACUCCUACGGGAGGCAGCAGUAGGGAAUAUUGCACAAUGGGGGAAACCCUGAUGCAGCGACGCCGCGUGAGUGAUGAAGGCCUUCGGGUCGUAAAGCUCUGUCGUAUGGGACUAACAAAAUGAAGGUACCAUGCAAGAAAGGAUCGGCUAACUUCGUGCCAGCAGCCGCGGUAA
rnacentral:rRNA from 1 species